rnacentral:rRNA from 1 species
UGCCAGCAGCCGCGGUAAUACGAAGGGUGCUAGCGUUGUUCGGAAUUACUGGGCGUAAAGAGCAUGUAGGCGGGCCUGUGCGUCAGGGGUUAAAUAUACCGGCUCAACCGGUAAAGUGCCCUUGAUACGGCAGGUCUUGAGUACGAGAGAGGAUGGUAGAAUUCCUGGUGUAGCGGUGAAAUGCGUAGAUAUCAGGAGGAAUACCAGUGGCGAAGGCGGCCAUCUGGCUCGGUACUGACGCUCAGACCCGAAAGCGUGGGUAGCAAACAGGAUUAGAUA